rnacentral:rRNA from 1 species
GAUGAACGCUGGCGGCGUGCCUAAUACAUGCAAGUCGAGCGAACGGACGAGAAGCUUGCUUCUCUGAUGUUAGCGGCGGACGGGUGAGUAACACGUGGAUAACCUACCUAUAAGACUGGGAUAACUUCGGGAAACCGGAGCUAAUACCGGAUAAUAUUUUGAACCGCAUGGUUCAAAAGUGAAAGACGGUCUUGCUGUCACUUAUAGAUGGAUCCGCGCUGCAUUAGCUAGUUGGUAAGGUAACGGCUUACCAAGGCAACGAUGCAUAGCCGACCUGAGAGGGUGAUCGGCCACACUGGAACUGAGACACGGUCCAGACUCCUACGGGAGGCAGCAGUAGGGAAUCUUCCGCAAUGGGCGAAAGCCUGACGGAGCAACGCCGCGUGAGUGAUGAAGGUCUUCGGAUCGUAAAACUCUGUUAUUAGGGAAGAACAUAUGUGUAAGUAACUGUGCACAUCUUGACGGUGCCUAAUCAGAAAGCCACGGCUAACUACGU